GGGUCUUGUCACCUUUUAUAAAGCACCAGAGCAAGGCUUCAGGACUGCAGAAAACCCAGAUUCCUUGCACAUAGAAAGAGUGCCUGGAAGCCCUAUCAGCUUUCUUCUGCAAUGAAGACCUGGCUCCUACUCGAUGGCACAGCUUGGCGUGUACUAUCUUGGUAGCUGGAACUUCAGCCGAUGGUGAUGACAGUAAGGACGACAGUAAGGAUGACAGUAAGGACAGCAGUAAGAACGACAGUAAGGAUGACAGUAAAGACGACAGUAAGGACGACAGCAAGGGCGACGAUGAUGCCGAUGAUGCCAAGGAUGACAAAAGAAACCAAUAUUUUUUCAAGAUACAAAACAAAGAAAAUGUGCAUCAAAUUUGCAAAC